rnacentral:rRNA from 1 species
AGUGAACGCUGGCGGUAGGCCUAACACAUGCAAGUCGAACGGCAGCACAGUAAGAGCUUGCUCUUACGGGUGGCGAGUGGCGGACGGGUGAGGAAUACAUCGGAAUCUACUUUUUCGUGGGGGAUAACGUAGGGAAACUUACGCUAAUACCGCAUACGACCUACGGGUGAAAGCAGGGGAUCUUCGGACCUUGCGCGAUUGAAUGAGCCGAUGUCGGAUUAGCUAGUUGGCGGGGUAAAGGCCCACCAAGGCGUCGAUCCGUAGCUGGUCUGAGAGGAUGAUCAGCCACACUGGAACUGAGACACGGUCCAGACUCCUACGGGAGGCAGCAGUGGGGAAUAUUGGACAAUGGGCGCAAGCCUGAUCCAGCUAUACCGCGUGGGUGAAGAAGGCCUUCGGGUUGUAAAGCCCUUUUGUUGGGAAAGAAAAGCAGCAGGUUAAUACCCCGCUGUUCUGACGGUACCCAAAGAAUAAGCACCGGCUAACUUCGUG